rnacentral:rRNA from 1 species
GUCCACGCCCUAAACGAUGAUGACUAGUUGUUGGGGGAGUUAAAUCCCUUAGUAACGCAGCUAACGCAUGAAGUCAUCCGCCUGGGGAGUACGGUCGCAAGAUUAAAACUCAAAGGAAUUGACGGGGGCCCGCACAAGCGGUGGAUGAUGUGGUUUAAUUCGAUGCAACGCGAAAAACCUUACCUACCCUUGACAUGCCAGGAACGCUCCAGAAAUGGGGCGGUGCCCGAAAGGGAACCUGGACACAGGUGCUGCAUGGCUGUCGU